CAGUUAUGCUACAGACCAUUUAAAAUUAAAUACAUGGAUUUUCGAUUAAUUCAAUUUAAAUUAAUAAAUUAAAUCAACAAGUACUAUCCCUCCAGAAAUUUCUUUUCGUGCCGCCAGCGAUAAAAUUAGAAAAUACUUUUACCAUCACGGGGCUUGCGCGCCGCCAUGGAUUUCCGUUAUCGAACGAAAUACCAGUCAGUUUUGGUCAGAGACUCAUGAAGUGCGUAUAGUGUGCAGCAAAAUUUUUUUUUCAAGCGGCUAAGGUCUAGAAUCCAUCAAAUAUACGCCCUUAAAUGGAAUAAAGACAUCCUAAAUACUUUUUAUCAAAAAAAAUCCAACGUUUAAAGCAACAGUAACCCAAAGAUAUACAAAUUAAUUUAAGUACUAAAACCACACCGAAAUGGCGACCAAUUAACAGCCGUAAGCUGCACACAGAUUCUAGACUUCGCCGCAUCCGAUAGUCCAAAUCCUUGGAAUAUUGUAUAGCAUCCCAAGGCAAAUUGUUGAAAGCCUUAACUAUAUUUGCAUAACUGAUCAACAGGACACCAGUAGCUUGGCUUCCUUUCAAACAGCCUUCCAGACACUUGAGAUGUUGUAGUGCUAAGAGGAUUUCAUCCUAAAUAGACCUGUCGUCGUGGGAAAACAGUUUGGAAGAUAAGAUAAGCAUUUAUUUUUUUGGUUGUUAAAGUAAAGUCAGGUUGCUUCUCCUUCAGAAUUAUAAUAUAUUAGACUGUAAACUUUUUGUGUGCACAUAAUCAGGUACAUUUUUGACUAGUUUUGUAAUUAAUAGGGAGGGGGUGCUAGUUUUGUUUUUUUAAAUAAAAUAGGAUUUCAAAUAAUCAUAGUGGAUAAUAAUAGUUGAGAAUAAAUCACGUUUUAAAAUUUAAUAGAGAAAAAUAUGGGUAUAAAAGGGUUAUCAAUAAGAGUAAUUUUCAUAUUUAAAAGGGUUUUACAAACAGAAUUUAAUUAAAAGAGUUUCUGACCGACUCAUAUCUAGUAUUUUCUGUAUAUAUCCAGUAUCUAUUUUGUGAGUAUAAUACGAGCACAUAGAUCUGGAACGUUAGAUAAUUGGACACAUGUCAGUCCCAGGACCAUUAUUUAUUUACUAACAUUUAAGUUAAGACUUUUGGCUAUCCUCCCGGACUUGACUAUUGAAUUCUUACUAAUACUUGUUUACUUGGCACAAUAGUGGUGAUUUUUGUUAUUUUUUAGUGGUCUUUUGGCCGUAUCUAUCUCUACACCACUAUUGUUUAUAUUAUUGAUGCUGAUACAUAUAUAAGUAAAAGCUAUUUUGAUAUUCUGUAGUAUAUUUAUUAUAAAUAUAUUUGUCAAUAGUAAAAAAAAAAAAAAAGUAGUGUAAAUAGUUAGCUUACUCUAUAAGUUUAUAGUAUUAUAGUUACAACGUAAGUGGUUAAGGUGUAAUUUAUAUUUUUUUCCUUUUUCUUCUCUUUUGCCUUUCCUCUUGGUCGUGUUAAAUUAAAUUACAUUAUCUCGUUUAAUAAAUUUGAUCAAUUACACAUCCCUUCUCUGUUUAAUAUUCUAUGCCAGCAUAUUUCGCGUAGUCUCUAUGCUGUACGUCUGAUUUUGUCAUUGAUUUUGUCCCGUCUCCUCAGCAAUGGUAUGGCUGUUGAGCUUAAAAUCCUUGUGGUUUGACACCACAACGUUUCGGCUUUACUGUAUCCCUCCUCAGGUUCAUCCUAAAGCUAUUUAGACCUAGACAAUAAACAAAAACAAAAAAAAGAAAAAAAGGUUCUUUUUUUUUUUGCUGGAGAUAAGGAAGAAUGUAGCAGUUAUGCUACAGACCAUUUAAAAUUAAAUACAUGGAUUUUCGAUUAAUUCAAUUUAAAUUAAUAAAUUAAAUCAACAAGUACUAUCCCUCCAGAAAUUUCUUUUCGUGCCGCCAGCGAUAAAAUUAGAAAAUACUUUUACCAUCACGGGGCUUGCGCGCCGCCAUGGAUUUCCGUUAUCGAACGAAAUACCAGUCAGUUUUGGUCAGAGACUCAUGAAGUGCGUAUAGUGUGCAGCAAAAUUUUUUUUUCAAGCGGCGAAGGUCUAGAAUCCAUCAAAUAUACGCCCUUUAAAUGGAAUAAAGACAUCCUAAAUACUUUUUAUCAAAAAAAUCCAACGUUUAAAGCAACAGUAACCCAAAGAUAUACAAAUUAAUUUAAGUACUAAAACCACACCGAAAUGGCGACCAAUUAACAGCCGUAAGCUGCACACAGAUUCUAGACUUCGCCGCAUCCGAUAGUCCAAAUCCUUGGAAUAUUGUAUAGCAUCCCAAGGCAAAUUGUUGAAAGCCUUACCUAUAUUUGCAUAACUGAUCAACAGGACACCAGUAGCUUGGCUUCCUUUCAAACAGCCUUCCAGACACUUGAGAUGUUGUAGUGCUAAGAGGAUUUCAUCCUAAAUAGACCUGUCGUCGUGGGAAAACAGUUUGGAAGAUAAGAUAAGCAUUUAUUUUUUUGGUUGUUAAAGUAAAGUCAGGUUGCUUCUCCUUCAGAAUUAUAAUAUAUUAGACUGUAAACUUUUUGUGUGCACAUAAUCAGGUACAUUUUUGACUAGUUUUGUAAUUAAUAGGGAGGGGGUGCUAGUUUUGUUUUUUUAAAUAAAAUAGGAUUUCAAAUAAUCAUAGUGGAUAAUAAUAGUUGAGAAUAAAUCACGUUUUAAAAUUUAAUAGAGAAAAAUAAGGGUAUAAAAGGGUUAUCAAUAAGAGUAAUUUUCAUAUUUAAAAGGGUUUUACAAACAGAAUUUAAUUAAAAGAGUUUCUGACCGACUCAUAUCUAGUAUUUUCUGUAUAUAUCCAUUAUCUAUGUUGUGAGUAUAAUACGAGCACAUAGAUCUGGAACGUUAGAUAAUUGGACACAUGUCAGUCCCAGGACCAUUAUUUAUUUACUAACAUUUAAGUUAAGACUUUUGGCUAUCCUCCCGGACUUGACUAUUGAAUUCUUACUAAUACUUGUUUACUUGGCACAAUAGUGGUGAUUUUUGUUAUUUUUUAGUGGUCUUUUGGCCGUAUCUAUCUCUACACCACUAUUGUUUAUAUUAUUGAUGCUGAUACAUAUAUAAGUAAAAGCUAUUUUGAUAUUCUGUAGUAUAUUUAUUAUAAAUAUAUUUGUCAAUAGUAUUUGUGCCUUUUAUUUCAGUUCUUACUACAGUACAUAACAUAGCAUUACAAGGUAAAUAUUGAAUUUUGCGUUGUUUCAGGAAAGUGUCUCCAGUGUCAUUUAUUUAUUUGAUUUCUUGUUGUUUGUUACAAAAAUCUCGAGCUGUUCAAAUUCUAGGUCCAGAAGGUAGUUUU